UUAAAUUGAAGAGUUUGAUCAUGGCUCAGAUUGAACGCUGGCGGCAGGCCUAACACAUGCAAGUCGAACGGUAACAGGAAGCAGCUUGCUGCUUCGCUGACGAGUGGCGGACGGGUGAGUAAUGUCUGGGAAACUGCCUGAUGGAGGGGGAUAACUACUGGAAACGGUGGCUAAUACCGCAUAACGUCGCAAGACCAAAGAGGGGGACCUUCGGGCCUCUUGCCAUCAGAUGUGCCCAGAUGGGAUUAGCUUGUUGGUGAGGUAACGGCUCACCAAGGCGACGAUCCCUAGCUGGUCUGAGAGGAUGACCAGCCACACUGGAACUGAGACACGGUCCAGACUCCUACGGGAGGCAGCAGUGGGGAAUAUUGCACAAUGGGCGCAAGCCUGAUGC
rnacentral:rRNA from 1 species